ACAAUAAAGUAAAACAUGGACUCGCUAGCUGCCAAUUUAUAAAGUGCUAUUCCACGGCCUCCCAUGUGUCUUGGGUGGUUCAUAUGCUUGUUCUUUCUUGGUUACGAAUGAAAUAAUUGCUGUGGUUUUUAUGAUGGGUUUACUCCUGUUUGAAGUCCAGAUCCUGACCUCCAAGAGAGACCCAAAUUGGCCAGUGCUCUUUCCAUCUCCGUCAGCAUCGCUUAAGAGAAAUUUGCAUGCAGCCCUGAUUUUUCUUUUUUCCAGAAUCCAAAGUCCACCAAAGGCUUUGCCUUCAGUGUUUCCUGGUAGGCACCUCUUUCUAUUUGUGGGGAGACUGGAUCUCCCACAUAAGACCUCAAGGACGGGACGUUUCCUCUUGCUUUGCCUUUUUAAUAGGUCCCUGGUGUUCACUGCCAAACCUUUAUUUCUUUUGUGCAACAUUCAUGUUUCUGUUCAAGUGAUCAAACAAGAUGCAAAAGCUGUUUCAAAUAAGGUUUGUCACACACACACAGAAACAUCCUCUUUCCUCUCCCCCAAAAGAUAUAUUACUUCCUAAUGUGAAAAUGAAAUUGUUGCCAGACUUGUAAUUAACACAAAUAAACUGCUACAUCUUUGAAAAGCU